GAAAAACCUCAUCGCUGUUCAGAAUGUGGAAAGUCGUUCUCAAUGAGAAGCAAUCUUCAGAGGCACAGAAUAAUCCACACAGGAGAAAAACCUCAUUGCUGUUCAGAAUGUGGUAAGUCGUUCUCAAGGAGAAGCAGUCUUCAGUACCAUAGCAUAAUCCACACAGGAAAAAAACCUCAUUGUAGUUCAGAAUGUGGUACGUCGUUCUCAUAAAAAGGUGAUCUUAUGAUUCACAGAAGAAUCCACACAGGAGCAAAACCUCAUUGUUGUCAAGAAUGUGGCAAACAGUUUUCUGACAAACACAGUUUUCAAAGGCACACGCAAAUUCAUACUGGAGAGAAGCCAUAUUGCUGUGCUCAAUGUGGAAAAAGGUAUUUCUACAUUUCCAAUUUACAAAGGCAUGCAAAAGCUCACGUUGCUUGUGUCAAGCACUUCUCAGACAGCAAGACUCUUAAAGACCACAUGAGAAUUCACUAGGGCGAGAUACCCCAUUGCUGUCCAGAAUGUGGCAAACGAUUCUCAAGUCAAAACACGCUUAAGAGCCACAGAAGGAUCCAUACUGGAGAGAAGCAGUACACGUGUUCUGAAUGUGGUAAAGGGUACUCUUCCAGAAAAAAAUUUUCAGAGAUGCACACAAAGUCAUAUUUGAGUAAAGCCUGUCCCAGAAAUGAGAAAUCAUCUUUCUAUUGGGUCCUCAACCAAAAAAAUAAAGAAAAAUAUUCUGAAUGAGGUUAGGACUCCAGUUUAAAGUAUUUAAUAAGUACAUAAGAAUAGUGGAGAAAACAUGGGAACUAGCAAACAGAUCCUAUAUUUAAGGUCACCUCAGAGCCACAUAUGAAUACACUCUGGAAUACAACACCUAUUUCACAAACAGCAAGAAUCUUCUUCAACAACUUAUAGAUGCAAGAAAAAUGUCAUUGAAAAGAAUUAACAUUUAGGACAACAGACAGCAGAGGUCUUCAUUUUCAUAAAUGACUAGCUUACUUGUGGUAAGCAUCUUAGCUGUUCUGAAUGUUGAAAGUGGUCCUCCUGUAUCAGCCGUCAUCAGCAACACGUAAGAUUUCAUAAAGGACUCAGAAAUUGUACUGCCAUUAUGUCAGCCAUACAGGGACUGAUCAUCUCUGCACCGGUGCUGUGACAUAAGAUGGUGAACAAUACAAACACCAGAUAACAGAAUGAGGUAGCAACAGAACUGUGUGGGGAUAACAACUUCAACCACAGAACACAACUGAAAAAGUUCAAUGUAAUAAUAAAAAAUGGAGAAGUGAAAUCAAAUCCACAGUGCAGUGCCAACUACCAGGAGGUGCCACUGACAACAAGAGGAAUAUUUUUGUUUCAGUGCUUUGCAGAUGUGGCCUUAUCUGAGUAGCAAUGAACUUGUACCGUCUCUGGGAUGUCAUCUGAUGGCUGACGCCUGGGCUGAGUGCAGACAGCCGUUCUUAACCCUGAUAAUGAAGAAGUCAUUUAGUGAUGUCAGCUGACAGCCAAUGCUGUCCGAUCAAAUACUGGGGAGGGACAGUCGAGGAGGACAGGACACUAAAAAGAGAGCCGUCACAUGACAGACCAAAGUAGAGGGGCUUUAUAAGACUUUUACACUAAUUUAGGUUAUCAUUUAUAAAUUAUGAGAGUCUUUACAAACCAAACACAUUCAUCAGCUGUGUGUCAAGGGUGAGUCCAAAAGUGGGAAUUUAAGAAGAUCGAAAUACAAAUAAAAUGAAACAUUCAGGGUUCAAAGAGAAAUGUUUAAGACCUGAAGAGGGAGUCACAACAGUAUGCUAGGGUUAGCACAGGGGAC